GACGAACGCUGGCGGCGUGCUUAACACAUGCAAGUCGAGCGGUAAGGCCCUUUCGGGGGUACACGAGCGGCGAACGGGUGAGUAACACGUGGGUGACCUGCCCUCAGCUCUGGGAUAAGCCUGGGAAACCGGGUCUAAUACCGGAUAUGACUCCAUGACGCAUGUUGUGGGGUGGAAAGCCUUGUGCGGCUGAGGAUGGGCCCGCGGCCUAUCAGCUUGUUGGUGGGGUGAUGGCCUACCAAGGCGACGACGGGUAGCCGGCCUGAGAGGGCGACCGGCCACACUGGGACUGAGACACGGCCCAGACUCCUACGGGAGGCAGCAGUGGGGAAUCUUGCGCAAUGGGGGAAAGCCUGACGCAGCGACGCCGCGUGAGGGAUGACGGCCU
rnacentral:rRNA from 1 species